rnacentral:rRNA from 1 species
AGUGAACGCUGGCGGUAGGCCUAACACAUGCAAGUCGAACGGCAGCACAGUAAGAGCUUGCUCUUACGGGUGGCGAGUGGCGGACGGGUGAGGAAUAUAUCGGAAUCUACUUUUUCGUGGGGGAUAACGUAGGGAAACUUACGCCAAUACCGCAUACGACCUACGGGUGAAAGCAGGGGAUCUUCGGACCUUGCGCGAUUGAAUGAGCCGAUGUCGGAGUAGCUAGUUGGCGGGGUAAAGGCCCACCAAGGCGACGAUCCGUAGCUGGUGUGAGAGGAUGGUCGGCCACACUGGAACUGAGACACGGUCCAGACUCCUACGGGAGGCAGCAGUGGGGAAUAUUGGACAAUGGGCGCAAGCCUGAUCCAGCCAUACCGCGUGGGUGAAGAAGGCCUUCGGGUUGUAAAGCCCUUUUGUUGGGAAAGAAAAGCAGCAGGUUAAUACCCCGCUGUUCUGACGGUACCCAAAGAAUAAGCACCGGCUAACUUCGUG